UGCCCUGUACACACGGAUAACAUACCGAAAGGUAUGCUAAUACGGGAUAACAUAAGAAAUUCGCAUGUUUUUCUUAUCAAAGCUCCGGCGGUACAGGAUGGACCCGCGUCUGAUUAGCUAGUUGGUGAGGUAACGGCUCACCAAGGCGACGAUCAGUAGCCGACCUGAGAGGGUGAUCGGCCACAUUGGAACUGAGACACGGUCCAAACUCCUACGGGAGGCAGCAGUGGGGAAUAUUGCACAAUGGGCGAAAGCCCGAUGCAGCAACGCCGCGUAAGCGAUGAAGGCCUUCGGGUCGUAAAGCUCUGUCCUCAAGGAAGAUAAUGACGGUACUUGAGGAGGAAGCCCCGGCUAACUACGUGCCAGCAGCCGCGGUAAUACGUAGGGGGCUAGCGUUAUCCGGAUUUACUGGGCGUAAAGGGUGCGUAGGCGGUCUUUUAAGUCAGGAGUGAAAGGCUACGGCUCAACCGUAGUAAGCUCUUGAAACUGGAGGACUUGAGUGCAGGAGAGGAGAGUGGAAUUCCUAGUGUAGCGGUGAAAUGCGUAGAUAUUAGGAGGAACACCAGUAGCGAAGGCGGCUCUCUGGACUGUAACUGACGCUGAGGCACGAAAGCGUGGGGAGCAAACAGGAUUAGAUACCCUGGUAGUCCACGCCGUAAACGAUGAGUACUAGCUGUCGGAGGUUACCCCCUUCGGUGGCGCAG
rnacentral:rRNA from 1 species